rnacentral:rRNA from 1 species
ACUGCUAUCGGGGUUCGAUUAAGCCAUGCGAGUCGAGAGGGUUCAGACCCUCGGCGGACUGCUCAGUAACACGUGGAUAAUCUGCCCUAUGGUGGAGGAUACCCCCGGGAAACUGGGGAUAAUACUCCAUAAGUCAGGAGUACUGUUUUUUCUCCUAACUGAAAGUUGCGGCGCCAUAGGAUGAAUCUGCGGCCGAUUAGGUAGUUGUUGGGUUAACCCUACCAUCUAGCCUGUAAUCGGUACGGGUUGUGGGAGCUAGAUCCCGGAGAUGGAAUCUGAGACACGAUUCCAGGCCCUACGGGGCGCAGCAGGCGCGAAAACUUUACAAUGCAGGAAACUGUGAUAAGGGAACCCCGAGUGCCCGUAAACGCGGGCUGUCCCGGUGUUUAAAACACAUCGGAAGAAAGGGCCGGGCAAGACCGGUGCCAGCCGCCGCGGUAAUACCGGCGGCUCGAGUGGUGACCACUUUUAUUGGCUUAAAGCGUUCGUAGCUUGAUUUUUAAGUCUCUUGGAAAUCUCACGGCUUAACUGUGAGCGUCUAGAGAUACUGGCAUCUAGGACCGGGAGAGGUAGAGUACUCAGGUAGAGUGAAUCUGUAUCUGAGACACGAUGCAGGCAUCUACGACGGCUCCCGUGAGACGAGCUGGGGACGACGGAUAAGAUAC